AGAAGUGGGUAAUCACCAGAGGAGGAACAAAUGCUGGAAGCCAAAAAAAAAAAAAUCAACUCAAAUCACAUGGCAUGACACUUGACCCACUUCUCUUCCCUUUUCCUCCUGGGUUAGCUAGGCUCUCUUCUCAGCUGUUGCUUGAAUGCACCAAACACCCCGCCCUUGAGGCCUUUGCUCUCCCCAGAGCUUUAUCCUGGAAUGCUUUCCUCAGACAUUUGCUUGGCUUUCUCCCUUGUUUUUCUAUUCACGGCUCUAUUUAAAUGUCACCUCAGAGAGGCCUUUGGAAACAGAGGAAAGGGAACCUCUGCCACUCCAGUGCAGCCUGACAUUCCUGAGAUGCCUCAAGACACAGCUAAACAAAUGGUGGUUGGAGAAAAAGAUGUAUAUGUGGGAUUGAAAGAAGAUAGGCAAGAACGAGAACGAGAACAGUCUUACAUGCCAAUCACGGGACGUGGACUUCCUCCUGACACAGUGGGACGAAAACAGUAUAGAGUGUGUUAGUUAGUACUCACUCACUUACUUAGUUCAGCCUAAUUCAGGUUCAUACAAAUUCCCCCUUUCCCUGUCUUUAGUGGUCAAAGAGAGUGUUCAUCUAUCUGAAGAAAUAUAAAAUUAUUAAAAUCACUUUUUCAGAUCCAAGGACCUCUUUGAACUGUCUAAAGUCAUCCUGCAUGCAAAUGUGCAUUUGCCUGGGUAGAUUAUCUAAAGCCUUCGUUGGAUUUCUCAAGUGAUCUAAAGCUCUAAAAAGUAUAAGAAUCACU
rnacentral:lncRNA from 1 species